rnacentral:lncRNA from 1 species
AACGGAGCCUUUCUAUCAAUUGUUUUACCCUUCGGUUUCACCGUUCCCAUUAGUUGUUUCAUAUUCCAUCGUUCUCCGACGUAUUCCACCGACCCCACAUCUAUUCUUCCGUUCCAUGCACCAGCCCGCACCAGCCAUGCGGAGACAGUAGAAACGGGCAUUGCGUCUCUUUCCGUCCUAAUCUUGGUAUAUUAUCUACAGGAUACUAUCUUUCUCGGUACGUCUUGCCUACUAGAGCAGGUCAUGAACGGUGUGCCUACAGAUUUUCUUAUUCAACUUCAAAGCCAUUUCUGGAUGAGAAUUGUUCGCAAUCCCAUGAGGCUAGAGGUUCAUGACAAUACACUCACACUAGGAAACUUACACUGGAAAAUCGACUUUGGCGGGUGACGAAAAGUUGUGGAUACGCAAGUGAGUACAGAAAAUUCAUUGCCGCACCCCAAAAGUUGAGAUGUUGAACUGCGGAAAAAGUUUCGAAAUCGCGGUUUUGUCGAUCAAUCGAGAACUCAUGCUUUUUCCGUACUUGUGCACGUAUUACGUUCACUCCUUUUUGCAUUAAAUUGGGACAUUCUGAAACGAACUGAAAUUCAUGUCACUCUCGUUCAUCCUAUAUUAUUAAGAAACUUACAGAAAAACGCAGGGUGCACAAACAGUAGUUAACAGCUUUCUUCAAUAGUGUAAUAACUUUCUACAUCCUAGUUUCACAUGAAAUAAAAAUUAUCUUCGUUAUGCAUAGUCGCGUAUGAGCAUGUAAGUUUGUACAUAAUAAUACAUGAACAGCAAGGCUUUUCGCUUUUUCGGUAACGUUUCUCUAACUGACUGAAAUACCGAAAUGUACAAACUGGAAACUAUUUUCGAUGAUGAGCGUAAUGAGCUUUAUCUGCGUUCAUUUAUUUGACGCAAUAAUCUUGAAUUAUUCAAUUUGCAGUAAGCAUAUCUGAAUUAUAUGCACCUCAAGAUUUCGGUUUUCUUAACUUGAGAAAGCCAAAGCUGCGAUUAUAUCAUAUUUGUAUAGUGGGUACUAAUGAUCCGUAAUUGCUAUCCUCGAUUAACGAGUAGAAUAUAACGUAUAACAAGAUAAAACAGAAAAUAUAGCCAAAGUGUAUUUGUUA